rnacentral:misc_RNA from 1 species
AGGGGGGUGGGGGGUGGUGGGUGGAGGAAAAUGGCCAAACUUUUUCUGGGUUUUGUUGGAAUUGCGAGAGAAAGAGCUGUUACGGAGAAAAGAUAGAGCAGAUAUGUUGGUGCCUGAAUCAUGGGAAGAGCAGAGCACACAUUUCGAAAAACACAGAAACCCAAAUUGUCUAGCUACGUGAUGAAUCCAUAGUGAACAAGAAGGAAGAGAGAGAGGGAGAAGGAGAAGGAGAAGGACAGAAAGCGGUGAUGGUGGUGGUGGACCUGAUAGCGAGAGGCAAAACUUGGCAAGAGCAGACAAAUACAAAUACUAAGC